rnacentral:rRNA from 1 species
AUUGAACGCUGGCGGCAGGCUUAACACAUGCAAGUCGAGCGGGGUGAUGGUGCUUGCACUAUCACUUAGCGGCGAACGGGUGAGUAACACGUGAGCAACCUGCCCUUCUCUUUGGAAUAAGCGUUGGAAACGACGUCUAAUGCCGAAUAUGACCCCCUGUCGCAUGGUGGGGGGUGGAAAGCUCUGGCGGAGAAGGAUGGGCUCGCGGCCUAUCAGCUUGUUGGUGUGGGUAAUGGCCCACCAAGGCGACGACGGGUAGCCGGCCUGAGAGGGUGACCGGCCACACUGGGAAUGAGACACGGCCCAGACUCCUACGGGAGGCAGCAGUGGGGAAUAUUGGACAAUGGGCGAAAGCCUGAUCCAGCAACGCCGCGUGAGGGAUGACGGCCUUCGGGUUGUAAACCUCUUUCAGCAGGGACGAAGCGAGAGUGACGGUACCUGCAGAAGAAGGACCGGCCAACUACGUGCCAGCCGCCGCCGUAA